rnacentral:lncRNA from 1 species
CGGGCCGCGAUGGCCCAGGGCGGCAUGGAAGCCAUUGGAGGUGCCGGCGAGGCCGAGGUCGAGGUUAAUGAGCCUAGCGGCGGCGGCCGGGUGCGCGUCGAGCGCCGGCAGGACAUCCUCGGUCUAGCAGUACAACUUGGAGAGGUCGAGCGCGGUGAGCUCGGGGCAGGCCUAGAGCAGCGACUCGAGAUCCGAACAGUCGAGGAGGUCGAGGGCCUACUGGUGCCAGCGUACGACCUUUGAUGCUAUGGAGCGUGGCUGGCGAGCAUGGAGGGUCACGGCAGUAGACGGCAAGGUCGGACACGACGGGGAAGUAGGCAGCGAGGUGCGCUGCAACGAAGGCGUUCGGUUUGGCGAUCUCCUCCUGGUGGAGUGGGAGGUCGUUGGAGAGGAGGAGGCGGGCGCCCCUGCGACGUGCGAGGCCGAUGAGAGAAGCGUUGUCCCCACAACGAGGUCAAUGAGAGGUCGAGCCGCUCGAGCAUUGGGAAGCAGAAGGUCAGCGGGAGCAGCAGGAAGUCGGGCAUCCUCGGGUCCCUGCACAAAGCCAUCGCGCCCGCUCCGCUGCCAGUAGCCCGUGGAUGCCAUCAGGGCACGCUGCUGUGAUCAAGGAUCGCCCAGGAAGCCCAGGAUAAGAUGUGCACAAACUGAACAAUAAGGAGUGGACAACCAGGAGGAGAACGACAUCACAGGUCUGUACCACCACCCCUGAAACUUUCUUUCUCCCCUUCCCUUUGCUAAGUCCAGCGCAUGUACACCCACCUGCAGUAACUCCUCUCUUCUUUCCAUGUUCAGUUGCACAUCUUAUUUAUGUCCUUGCUUAUCUUCAUAUGUCUACUACGUACAUACAGUACAUGUAUUCUUUUCUUCUACCAUUCUAUGUUGUAUAAUCUUUGUUAGUAAAUGCCCCAAUUUUUGUUAUGCAACAUGUGUAGAAAGGGGAAAAGGAUACUCAGGGCAUGGAUGAGAAGGCUAAGCAACAAUUUUGCAUCCCGUUCAGAAUUCCAUAACAGCAGUUGAUCCGUCUUUUAUUGGUUAAUAACUAUUGACUAUUGUGAAUGCAGUGUUAAUUUUCCAGAAAUUGUUUAAUGAAUUGCUGUGAACAUGACCCUUUGCAGGACGAUUUUCACACAACCUUGUGAUCGAUGGCUGCGGCCGAGGUGAUCGAUGGCUGCUAUAUCUUGUCAUGUAGAAAUCAGGCACAACCCAUAGCCUGUGUAGCAGUUCUCUUUGCAUCUUUGAGCAGAUGAGUUGUUAU